CACGUAGGGCGCAAGCGUUUGUCCGGAAUUAUUGGGCGUAAAGAGCUCGUAGGUGGUUUGUUACGUCUGCUGUGAAAUCCUAGGGCUUAACCCUGGGCUUGCAGUGGAUACGGGCAGACUAGAGGUAGGUAGGGAGAAGUGGAAUUCCUGGUGUAGCGGUGAAUGCGCAGAUAUCAGGAGGAACACCAAUGGCGAAGGCAGCUCGCUGGGACGGUACUGACGCUGAGACGCGAAAGCGUGGGGGCAAACAGG
rnacentral:rRNA from 1 species